GGGCAAUGACUUAUUUAUUUCAUAAAAUAAAAAAAAAGCUACAAACACUUGUUUUUUAAUCUAUUUUAUUUCCAGGCAAGAACGACAUUCUUCUAUUCUUUCUUCAACAAGAAAACAGGUUAUGUUACAGUCACUAGGCAGUAGGCAAAACACUCGAUAACCAAAUACAUAAAAGGAAAUAAAAAAGAGUUACAAAAUCACAAAAGUUAAAAUUGAAAAUACAAAAAGAUUAAAAAAGAAACUGCUUUUGAAAAAUGAAAAUAUCAAACCCCUUCUUCAGAACAAUUCAAACAGGGGGCUGCGGGUUCUUAAUCUAACAGUAAUUAAAAUUCCACUGAAACCCCAACCCUCUAUUUGAUUUUCCAUUUUUUUCCCCCACAAGAAUUAUUUUCAACAUAGAACUUGAGCUUUGGAAGUGACAAAAAGAAAAGACAUAGAUGAGUGACUGAGUCUGACUGAGAUAGAGUCGUCAAUAUACCACACUGGUCAGCUCUCAGUUGAAUUUGUGAGUUUGGGUUGGAGUCCCAGUCCCACAGCCCACAGGUAGUGAAAGUAGGUAAUUAUCCUAACCAGCUAAUGUAUCAAAACCUGUUUGUAUAAGCCUGCACAUUACAAGUUACUCAUAAGCAAAGGAGGGGGCUGCAACGAGAAACAGCACAUCAUGUCCUAAUUAUAAAACAUGUAAAAAUUAACAUAUUUUACCAGUCACAAAACCCUUUUUCUUUAGAGAUAAACUCCCCAUAGCAACUAUAAAUAUGGGAAAAAAAAAAUGACCACAAGGUAGAACAGUCCCUUCUUUUUCUCCAAACAAAUACAACCAUUUCAGUUCACACCUAAGCUGAGAACCAUUCUAGUUCCAAUUUUCAACCAAUGAAACAACCGUAGUAUUCUCAUAAAAAUAAAAGAAUGAAAUAACCAUAGAAUAAAAUAAUUAUACUCUAAUUCAAAUAUUGCUUCAGAAUUUAUGAUUUAUGAUAGACCCAACUGGUCAAACCUACAGAAUUGGAUUAGGCAUUUAUUUGACCCAAAAGGUGAAUAUCAAGCUUAUGGUUCUUACAACACUGAAAUGAUCAAAUUUCAUUCAUUCUGAACAUGAGAUGCAAAGAAUUAUUUCAAGUUAUUCGAAGAGUAAGCAUUAAAAGAAAUUUGUUCAUCCUACGUGGUAUAAGUAGUAUACUUAAGCUAGUAUUAGUGUAUUAUGCAUCAUCGGUUAAAUCAUUUGGAUUAUUAACAUUGAUUUAUAUUUUUUUUAUUAGCUGAAUUGAUAACUGUCGCAUCCCUAACUUAGAUGCACGUGUGAUAAGAAAAUUUUAUCUACAUCAGAUGCAAGUACAAGCUUUUAACAAUUAAGCCGUGACUGUUGGCUUACAAGAACGAACAUAUACUAAUAGAAUGAAUAAGACCCAGCACUUACAGAAAAAUUUGACAUUAUCUGCCCUAAAAUGUAAGAAUCCCAAAUUUAACACAAUCCUAAACUUGCUGCAAGUUACAGCAGCAGCAAGGAAACAAUUAAGAAAACUAGGUGGAAAAAAAAAUUAAUAAAAGUAAGAAGAUUCCAAAAUUGAACCACUCAUGCACAGAAACUUACCCAAACCAAUUCUAAAGAGUAAGAGUUAUGAGAAAAUCCAGCGAAAUCCACGUUGAUUUCCCAUAAAUUUCAUACUUGCUGUUGUUCUCAGCUCCCUUAAGUGCACAAUUAUUCUCUGUAAAAAUCAAUUGCUUUCUUUCCCUCCAUUUCUUUUUCUUCCUCUUCUCUCUUCUUUUGUUUUUUUCCUCGUUCUGUCUCUGUUGUAUUUUUUACCGCUUAUUAUUAUUAUUAUUAUCGUCAUCACCCGAACGUUGGUUUUGUUUGUUAUAGAACUUCACAAAAGAAUAGAGAGACCUUAUAAGUUGGUUGUGGGCUGGGCUUAGCUACAGAUUUUCUUCUCAAAAACACACACACGCGCGCGAGAGGAAGGUGGUGUUUAUUUUUUUAUCUGAAAUCUGAAUAGAUCUGAAUUAGUCUGAAUUCUGAAUAAAUUAUCUGAAUCUGAAUAAUAUAUUUAUUUUUUCGUCUGAAUCUCAAAAAAUAAGUAUUAAGUUGUUUGUUUUUUUCAACUUAAAAAGCUAAAAAUAUAUACUUUUACAUUUGUAUCCUUAUUAAAUUUGAAUGUCAAAUAAAUAAUAUAUUAAAUACCACAAUAUUUUAA
rnacentral:lncRNA from 1 species